rnacentral:rRNA from 1 species
GGGAGGCAGCAGUGGGGAAUUUUGGACAAUGGGGGCAACCCUGAUCCAGCCAUUCCGCGUGAGUGAAGAAGGCCUUCGGGUUGUAAAGCUCUUUCAGCUGGAACGAAACGGUUCGCUCUAACAUACCGGGCUAUUGACGGUACCAGCAGAAGAAGCACCGGCUAACUACGUGCCAGCAGCCGCGGUAAUACGUAGGGUGCGAGCGUUAAUCGGAAUUACUGGGCGUAAAGCGUGCGCAGGCGGUUUGUUAAGCAAGACGUGAAAUCCCCGGGCUUAACCUGGGAAUGGCGUUUUGAACUGGCAGUCUAGAGUGCGUCAGAGGGGGGUGGAAUUCCACGUGUAGCAGUGAAAUGCGUAGAGAUGUGGAGGAACACCGAUGGCGAAGGCAGCCCCCUGGGAUGACACUGACGCUCAUGUACGAAAGCGUGGGUAGCAAACAGGAUUAGAUACCCUGGUAGUCCACGCCCUAAACGAUGUCAACUGGUUGUUGGGGGAGUGAAAUCCCUUAGUAACGCAAGCUAACGCGUGAAGUUGACCGCCUG